GAUUGAUAUUAAUCAUCUUAGCUAUCUGUUCAUGCUUUGGGAUUUUGACGUCAUGGGAUAUAUGCUAGUUUUUUGCACUAAAAAACGCUUGG
rnacentral:tRNA from 1 species